rnacentral:rRNA from 1 species
CAGUAGCCACGGUAAUACGUAGGGUGCAAGCGUUAAUCGGAAUUACUGGGCGUAAAGCGUGCGCAGGCGGUUUGUUAAGACAGAUGUGAAAUCCCCGGGCUCAACCUGGGAACUGCAUUUGUGACUGGCAAGCUAGAGUAUGGCAGAGGGGGGUGGAAUUCCGCGUGUAGCAGUGAAAUGCGUAGAUAUGCGGAGGAACACCGAUGGCGAAAGCAGCCCCCUGGGCCAAUACUGACGCUCAUGCACGAAAGCGUGGGGAGCAAACAGGAUUAGAUACCCGUGUAGUCCCUGUCUCUUAUAC